UUCAACACCAGUUUUCGUACAAUCACCGAAGUUAAGCAACUUCGAGCCUGUUCAGUAACUAGGUGGGAGACAGCUUGGGAAUACCAAGUGCUGUA